UUUUUUUUUUUUUUUUAUUUCCUUCCGACAACCGACCCGCUGCUAAAUGCGCGCCGACAAUAUUAACGUGCAACCGCAAAACGUGUACCUGAAAACGAAAAACAAAAAAAUAAAAAAUCGCGUACCCGCUUAUAACGCGCAAAUACGUCAGCGACGUGUUCAACAACCCCACACACCCCCAACGCCGAAUUUCGCAACAAUAUUAUUGUUUUUCGCCGACAGUCCGACGGGCUUUCGUAAUGGUUUUUGACCAUCGAUUAUAAUCAUGUAUAUUGUAUAUUGUAUAUUGUAUAAUGUCGCGGCCCGCGAUUGCACGUAAACGCCACGUUGUUUCACUUAAAUAUUGUUUUUUUUUUUUUUUUUUUUUUCGACGAAAUUACCUAUAUUUAUUAUAUUAUGUACGAUCUGAACGAACGGUCGCCAAUCGUGAACUACUCUUUGUAUGAUCAUUAUUAUUAUUAUUAUUAUUAUUUAUUAUUAUUUUUUUUUUUUUCAUUUGUGUUCGUGUAUUAUUAUUGUAUCGUUUUUUUUUUUCCUUUUCUUUUUUGUGUUUAACGUGUACUUUUUUUUUUUUCCAUAAAUUCCUGUAUAAACCUAUCUAAUUUAUUAAUGUUUUUUUUUUUUUUUUUGUUUUUAACAAUAUGAUCUAUUAGAUUUUCGUGUAAUUGUUUCAAUAACAAUAAUAAUAUAGGUAUAAAUGAAAAUGUUUUUUUUUUCACCUAAAUAUUUUAAUAUUAGAUAGAUAUUAUAGAAAUACGCCCGGAACUGUAUAAUAAUAUAUAUUAGAAUUUAUUGCGCAUCAGUUUUAAAACGUGUUUUCAAAAUUAAUUUAUAGCGAUGUUUGUUCGUCACCCCGUCUUCAGUCUGUUGUUUAUAAGAAGAGUUGAACGUGUAAGGUUUCAUUUAGUACUGUGUGUAGAUAUACAAUGUGUAUAAUAUAUGGUAUACAAUGUAAAUUAUAUUAUAUAGUAGAACCGUGUGGAAAAAAAAAACAAAUAUUUAUACCUUUUAUCUUAAAAAUUGGCGGAAUUGUUAACGUACGUAUCCCAUUAAACGUAAAUACUGAGGGCGGUUCUUAUUUAAUCGUUAAACGUUCGUUCAUUCGCAAAGCAUAGAAUUUUUCAAAAAGAAAAUGUUUUGAUGAUUUAAGGUAACGACGAUUGUUUUUUAUCGCCCUCAUUUUUUUGGCGUGGAACACAAUAGCAGUUUAAUGCUAUCAUAUAAUAUACUAUUAUGAAACCUAACCGAAAAAUUAUUUACUCACUGAUCAACUAUAAAUCUAAAAUUCAACAAAACAAGGUCUCUUUGAUAUUUCUAAUCGAAACGUUGUUUACAGACGACAAAAAAACACACACAGUAAAACCUAUAGAAACCUCACUACGCUCACAAUCUAAAAAACCGAAGAAAUAAUUAUAUUU